GGGCUCAGAUGGGUCGGUAGAUUAUACGGUCACCCUUGUCAUGUCGGAUUAUGAACAAAAUUUCAAGAGCUGCCUCCCUUCAACAAACCCACUGUGCAAAAACCCAUCUUCCUAGUCAAGCAAAUUAGGAAGAGAUUAUUCAUUUUCCAAAAGACUUUUCCUUUGGCCAGGAAAGAACACCCUUAGUUUGCCAGAAAAUCCUGCCAGCCGCCUCCCUGAGUGCAUGGACUGCUAGAUUCCGUUUUGUAAAAUCGAGACAGCGGCUCAGGCGCACAUGCAGUGCGUGGAGUGCAGAAGGCCUGGGUACUCCGGAAGCUUCCAGAGACAGCGUGGGGCGGCUGACGUGCGGGGAGACACAGACGUGGAGGACGCCACGGCCGCCUCGCCCCCAGGGCUCCCGGAGCGCGGCUGGCUGAGGAGCCAAGCAGAUGGUGCUGCUGAGCGUUUCCUGCCUGGGCGGGAGGAGGUGGGGUUGCCGCCGGCGGGGCCUGUGACUGUGAGUGCGGCUCGCUGAGCAGCUGAUGUGGGGGGUAGGGGGGGCGCGGAUUACGCCAUGUGUGACGGCAGAGGGGGGACAACGUGUCGAGAGACGUGGCCUUGGAUGUAAGGAAGGGUCGUGAGAAAAUACGCAGGAAGAGAUACCCCGUGGACAUGUUUCCCUUGGAAAGUGGAGGGAACCCUCUGAGCCGUGAUUCCGCCUGAAUUAAGCAGUGGCGGGCACUGGCCUGGCAGGCGGCUUCUACUGCCUUGGAUUUGCACCUCUAAGGGGUCACAGGGGCCACCCCCGAAACAAGACAAAGUGUGAUCAUGGACAGGCCCUCGGGGGGCCGGAAGAAGGAACGGCUCCAGUGAUGAAAGCUGAACGCCAGCUCUCUCCCCAUCGUUCUCCCGGACCAGGAGAGGGCUGCUCGGCAGGGCUAGGUUUAAAAACCUUCCAUGCAACUUACGAAGGCAUCCACAGUGACUUCUGCUGCUGUGGUACGUUCUGCCCUCCCCUCCUCCCCGCCCCAUCCUGUUCUCGGCUACAAGUUAUUUAUAUGUACAGUGUCAUCUGAACGUGCACGGGCCUAUCCCAGGACAUCACACACAAAGAGGCGGCGGUGAACCCAAGCCGCCGGGCCGGCCUGUGGCUCAGUGUGUGUUUCAGAAGUCCCGGCCCCAGGCAGCUCUCCUGAACAGAGCCACUGGAACUCAGGAGGGUCAGGACCACAGCCCAAACAACUGCGACCGAAAACACCCUACAGGGCUUGAGAACUAAAAAAUAAGGAGGGAUCUGGGCAGCCGAGCUGCCUCCUAAAGAAGCCACGUCAUAGAGAAAACUGCUUGCUCUAUCCAUGAGACGGAGGCGGCCGGGGUGUCCUGCCAGCAGACACGGGUCUGUCCAUCACCGGCCACCACGCUGCCUCUGUCCUUCACUCCCAUUUAAGGGAAAACGAUAUCUCUUCAUCUUUCUGCCCUGGACAUUGGAAAUCAGCGGUGAGAACAGUGCUCUUGCUACAAAAUGCUCAGGUUCUAGAAUGCUCCCAUCUUUCCUUCCAUUCCACAUGGAGUUUAUCCAAAGCACAAAGGCCAGUCACGGCACUGACAUCCGUGGUGCCCGCUCACCGGGGAGUGGGAAGCACAAGCCUGUCCUCAGAGGACCGUGACUGUGAGCCCGCAGCUGCUUGUGGGUGGGGCCAGCCCGCAGCUCCUCCUGGAGGCCUCGGGCUUCUUGCUGCUGCAUUUCUGUGACAUGUGGAGGGAGGAUCGUUUUGACACCUGCCUGGGAAGUUUCAAAGGAGAUGGCCUCUGGGCAGGGGUUUUAAACUGAAGGGCACCACACAGAUCCAGAUGUGAACUGUGGCUGUUGUUUGCAAUUGAAGCAGAGAUGCAGAGGAUGGAACAGGAGUGCUGGCCAUGCUGCUCUAUGGCCUUGGCCCAGCCAAGACCUGCAGUCAAUGGGGCUACGGGACCCCCGCUACACAGGGACCUGGGAACCACCUUUGCCGCGGUUGACCGCUGGGCCCGCCAUGCACCGCCCACACCUGGCUGUGCCUGGAGACUGAGAGCAGGGGGUGACGGUGGGCCUGGAAGAGUCUCUCCCUUUUGCAAACGCCAGCCACAGAGGUUUAUUUUUCUCCCUGAGAGAAGGAAGAGUGAAGGCUGAGACUGAGACAGAAGGACAGAAGGAGAAGACUUAGAAGCCAGUGAGCCCGGAACCACGAGACGCGCUCUGAGGACACGGGGCCUCGGGGAAACCGGGCACGGGCAGGGGUUGGUCUUGGCUUCCCCGCAACAUUGCCGCGAGCUCGGGUGCCGUCUCCACUCGCAGGCUGGCCUGUCCUCUGCAGCCACGAGCUCAGGCACCGUCUCCGUUCAUAGGCCAGCCUGUUCUCUGCAGCCUGAGGUCCCUGUGGUGCCAACAUCCAGAUGCUGAGAUAAUUCUGCCAGGGUGUUGGCUGAUCGGUGAUUGGUGGUUGGCUGUUCCGUGAGUUCUGCAUUGAUCUUGCUGGCUGAGCGUCCAAUGCGGAGGGGCAGGUGCUGUUAGGGUCUCCACUCCCAUCCCUCUCCCCAGGACUCAUCACCCACUGCAACCGUAAGCUGCUAGGGGCUCACAGCCGUGAGUCUUUGGGACGGGUGGUCCCACCUGGCAUGUAGCUCAGGCUCCUAGCCCCAGGACCCUGCCGCUGCUCCCCUCCCGCCCACAUCUUGGCUUAGCCGUCUUCCCUGGCUGCCAGCCCCUUCCCCUGGUCUUAGUUGGCUUGAGCCACUAAACUGAAAUAGCACACCCUGAGGCCUUCAACAGCAGACCUGAUUUCUCACCAUCUGGAGGCUGGAGGUCCAGGAUCCAGGCCCCCAAGGCUGCUUUCUCCCCCACUCCCCCACCCACCUUCCAGGACACGCAGACUCCACCCUCUUGCUGCCCUGUCUCAGGGCUGUCCCUCUGGGCAAGCAGGCCCCUGGCAUCCCCGUGUGUCUUCUCCUCCUGUUCUUAUAAGGACACCAGUCAUACUGGAUCUGGGCCCACCCUAGUGACCUCAUUUACCUUAAUCACCUCUGAAAGACCUUGUCUCAAAAACAGCCACAUUCUGGGGCACUGAGGGUUAGGGCUUUAACAUGGGAAUUUGAGGGAUGCAAUUCACCCCAUAAAACCCAGACCAUUCCCCCAGUAAAUCACUUUCACAAGAGCUCUUCUCUCAGGCUUUGCUUCUGGGGGAUCCCCCUUGAGAUGGAUCCAUCUAGCUUCCUGCUUCUCAAAGAACAGAGGGGAGAGCUCUGGUGCGAAGGGAACGGGUGGCCUCGGGGACCUGCGGAUAAGCUGCUGGCACUGCCAGGGGACAGGCUGAGCUGAAAGCCAGGAGGAGGGCGGCGAGGCCCGGGGCCGGACCUCAUUCUUCUGAGUGUUAUAAAAUCUGGCUUUGCUCAGAAACUGCCCCAUGUGUGCUUUUGUUAAUUGAAGUGCAAAAUUUUCUCCAAGUAAUAACUGGAGUCGUUUAACAAUACAAAUAAUUUGCACCUUAAUUUGGUCGAUGGCACAAUUGCUAAUUCCUAGAGACUCAGAGGAGCAAAGUGAUCACGAAUUCCAAGAGUGGAAACAAAUCCAUUCCGCAAAUUUCACCCUGGCUUCUUCCUCGCCGGCCUGGGAGCUGCCCCGAGGGUCCUGGAACCUUCAGCUGCUUCCGGGCUCAGCCGGUGUCGUGGGGAGCCAGGUCCUGUGGUGGCUCCCAGCCCCAAAGCUGACUCUGCGUGGGACAACAAACGGUUUAAUUAACCUCUCAGCUUUUUCAUCUGUGAAGCGGAGCUUGGGAUGCUUGCCACCGGACCAGGAGGCCACGAAGACGGAUGUUAGAAAACCUCUGUGCCAGUGACGAAAGACAUCGAAGCUAUAAUACCCUGUUAGGCAAAGCAAGAAGAUAACUCAUACAUGCAGGAGACAGUCUCCUUGUGCAGAGGGGCCUUUGGAACCGAUGUAUGGUGGAGCCCUGAGAAACCUGAAGCUGUGUAGAGCCUGCAGCCCCCGCCCCACGUCCCAAAGCGAUGUGGCCUGGGGAGCUCUUGUCCUGCCCUUUUUGGACACCCCCCUUCUUUGAGGGCAUCUUUCUUCUUAAAGGUGUUGGGGCGGGAGUAGGUGGGGGUCUAGCUUUGCUGAUUUCCUUGUAAGUGCAUUUUAUUAUUAUUAUUAUUAUUAUUAUUAUUAUUAUUAUUAUUUUGAGACAGAAGCUCGCUCUGAUGAGCGAGAUUCAAAAUUAUUAUUUUGAGACGGGGUUUCACUAUGUUGGCCAGGCUGGUCUCGAACUCCUGACCUCAGGGAUCCACCCACCUCGGCCUCCCAAAGUGCUGGGAUUACAGGCAUGAGCCACUGCGCCCAGCCAAGUGCAUUGUUUUUAAAAGGGGUAAAUCAUCUAGUGAAACCCCAUCUCUAUUAAAAUACAAAAAUUAGCCAGGCCUGGUGGUGCACACCUGUAGUCCCAGCGACUCCAGAGUCUGAGGCAGGAGAAUCGCUUGAACCUGGGAGGCGGAGGUUGCAGUGAGCUGAGAUCGCGCCACUGCUCUCCAGCCUCGGUGACAGAGCGAGAUUCCGUCUCAAAAUAAUAAUAAUAAUAGUCUGUCUCUGUGUGUUUAAUUACAAGUAACUAACUAGUUACUGUUGCAACUCAUUUAUUUGGGGACAGGCUCCUAUCUAGUGUCCCACCACGAUAUUAUUUGGGCCAGGAAAGACAUACACAACCGAUGAAAGGCUGGGAGCUGAAUCUUAGUGCUAAAGAUUCGCUGUGGGAAAGCACAGAGCCUAGGAGUUUGCUAAGGGCCUGGGCUCCUACAGGCAGGCACCGCUGACUGAUAGCCAGAAGAUUCUAGACUCCCAGGCCACCUGUGCUCAGAGUCAGCAAUGCGCGUUUCUCUGUCCGUAAGUCAGCGGUGCGGGUCUCUGUGUGACUGUGUCAGGGUGCUCUUGGGAAGAGGGGUGAGGGGCUGUGGGCCUCGAGCUGACGGGACGGGCAGGAAGGCUCACCUACCGAGGACAGCAAGUCAGAGCCAACAGGGGAGCCCUCCGGGGAAAGGGCUUUCAAGCCCUGGCACCACCAAGGUUUCAACCAAGAGACGUUGAACCAGGUUCCAGUAGACAACCCGCUGUCAGGGUGCACAGACUGUGGAAACCAGUGAGAAGUCCUCUUCCUGUACAACACGGUGGCCAGUGCAUGGCUGCAGACCUCAGCCAAAAGCCCACAGCCAGGCCAGCAGUUACAGGCGGCAGCCGGUCUCUUGUCUUCCCAAGGCCCCAGCAGCUCUGUCCUUCCACACAGCCCCUGCUGACGGCCAUCGUUGGUAUGGACACAUCAGGCCUCCAGGCUGCUGCAGGGCCUGUCCCUGGUGGCAGCUGUGACAUUAGUCAUCGAGGGGCUCCCCUGGCCUCCCCUGGCUGGCUGGGAGUGAGGUGACAUAAAUAGACUGAGCAGGUAGCUCUGCAGACCACGGGAUCACCAGCGUCCCUUGUGGCCAGUGUGGCUUUAAAGUGUGUCCCAGAGGUGGCUCUUGAGGCAGUCUUGCUGGACUGUUAUUAGGCACAUCUGCUCCAGGGAGUGCCCAUUCAUUAUGGCCAAAUAAGCAGGCAUAGGCGCCGGCCCCAGACGAGGUCUCUGGGGAACUCCAGGGGUGGGAGAGCCACCCUCUCCAGCGGCCUCAGGGCCCCGGUGCUCGGAAGCCUGGCUCCUCUGGCUUGAGCUCAGGUCUACAGCGAGCAGGGAGUCUUCCUACUGCUGCUCCAAGCUGCCUGGGCCAGCUGUGUUCGCCGAGGGGGCUGCCGGCUCACCACUGCCUGCCUUGAGUGCCAGGGUCUUUUGUGAAAUAAUCAUGUUACUCAAGUUCAGUCCUUGAAUAAAUAGCACAUUUUUG
rnacentral:lncRNA from 10 species